CGGCCGCGGGCAGUACUGGAAACUCCUUCGGGGAGGGAGGCUGCGUUUCUGCGUGAUUUAUCGGUCACUAGAAUUGAGGAAGGACAACCGGUUUGGUGCUGGCAGUUUGUAUAGUUAAGUUACAUAUUUUAGACAUCAUAGUAGGAUUAUGAAUGACAGGAAUGUCGUGGACACAUCCAUCCAUCUUCUAAGCAGAUAUGCUGGAAGGAUUGCGGAUUGCGAUUAAGAUGGAAACGUCCAGAGUGCCCAGUUUUCCUGGUGUUCCCAGAACAAUAUCCCAGUACUAGGACUACAACUAAGAAUAAUAAG